rnacentral:rRNA from 1 species
AUUGAACGCUGGCGGCAUGCUUUACACAUGCAAGUCGAACGGCAGCGCGGGCUUCGGCCUGGCGGCGAGUGGCGAACGGGUGAGUAAUGCAUCGGAACGUGCCCAGUAGUGGGGGAUAGCCCGGCGAAAGCCGGAUUAAUACCGCAUACGACCUGAGGGUGAAAGCGGGGGACCGAAAGGCCUCGCGCUAUUGGAGCGGCCGAUGUCGGAUUAGCUAGUUGGUGGGGUAAAGGCUUACCAAGGCGACGAUCCGUAGCUGGUCUGAGAGGACGACCAGCCACACUGGGACUGAGACACGGCCCAGACUCCUACGGGAGGCAGCAGUGGGGAAUUUUGGACAAUGGGGGCAAGCCUAAUCCAGCAAUGCCGCGUGCGGGAAGAAGGCCUUCGGGUUGUAAAACGCUUUUGUUCGGGAAGAAAUCCUCUGGGCUAAUACCCCGGGGGGAUGACGGUACCGGAAGAAUAAGCACCGGCUAACUACGUG